GUAGUUACAUAAGAACAAAAGUGUAUAAAAUCGAUGAGCACCGAAUUAUUGCUGAAACGCAGCAGUAGGCCACGGCAAGUGUCUUGCACGUCAGUGUGUGUGUGUGUGUGUGUGUGUGUGUGUGUGUGUGUGUGUCCGUGUCUGUGAGACUCAACGGGGAGAUAACAAGAUAACUGUGUCUGUCACAUUCACAGAACAGGUGGCGUGCCGCACACAGCGGGUCCAACCCCCAGCCGCGGCCCAGGAGACCAGUUGGCCUGCUUUUGUUCCCGCCGGCGGAAGCCAUUCUCUGGGGAGUAGUCAGGCCUUGGCCCUCAGCUGAUGGAUGUGAGUUCCAGAGAAAGAAAGCAGAGUUUAAUCAUUCACAGCUGAAGCUCCCACAUAAAGGAAGCAGUCGGAAAAUUGGACAGAAGAUUGCUCAGAAAAGAAGAGAAGAACAGAGAA
ensembl:lncRNA